rnacentral:rRNA from 1 species
GAUGAACGCUAGCGGCAGGCCUAACACAUGCAAGUCGAGGGGGAGGUUACUUUCGGGUAACUGAGACCGGCGUACGGGUGCGUAACGCGUAUACAAUCUGCCUUUCACUGUGGGACAGCCCGAAGAAAGUUGGAUUAAUACCCCAUAGUAUAGUAAUACGGCAUCGUGAUGCUAUUAAAGCUUAGGUGGUUAAAGAUGAGUAUGCGUUCUAUUAGCUAGUUGGAGAGGUAAGGGCUCCCGAAGGCGAUGAUAGAUAGGGGUUCGGAGAUGGAUGUCCCCGAAACUGGUACUGGGAUCCGGACCCGACUCCUGCCGGAGGCAGCGGUGAGGGGUAUUGGACCAUGGUCGUGAUCCUGACCCAGCCAUGCCGCGUGCAGGAUGUAGGUGUUAUGGAUUGUAAUCUGUUUUUGUAAGAGAAGACAAAGGGCUACGCGUAGUUUGUUGCCGGUCCCUUACGAAUAAGCAUCGCCUACCUCCGU